UCCGUAGGUGAACCUGCGGAAGGAUCAUUACCGAGUUCAUGCCCUUACGGGUAGAUCUCCCACCCUUUGUAUACUAUACCUUUGUUGCUUUGGCGGGCCGCCUAGCUACUGGCUUCGGCUGGUAUGUGCCCGCCAGAGGACCCAAAACCCUGAAUUAUUAGUGUCGUCUGAGUAAAAUAUUUAAUAUUUAAAACUUUCAACAACGGAUCUCUUGGCUCUGGCAUCGAUGAAGAACGCAGCGAAAUGCGAUAAGUAAUGUGAAUUGCAGAAUUCAGUGAAUCAUCGAAUCUUUGAACGCACAUUGCGCCCCUUGGUAUUCCGAGGGGCAUGCCUAUUCGAGCGUCAUUAUCACCCCUCAAGCCUAGCUUGGUGUUGAGGCCUGCUGUCAAGGCAGCCUCUAAAAUCAGUGGCAGUGCUGUCAGGCUCUAAGCGUAGUAAAUCUAAUCGCUAUAGACACCUGGUGGACACUCGCCAGAACCCCCCCAUUUUUUAAUGAUUGACCUCGGAUUAGGUAGGGAUACCCGCUGAACUUAGGCAUAUCAAUAAGCGGAGGAAAAGAAACCAACAGGGAUUGCCUCAGUAACGGCGAGUGAAGCGGCAAAAGCUCAAAUUUGAAAUCUGGCUCUUUUAGGGUCCGAGUUGUAAUUUGUAGAAGAUGUUUCGGGUGUGGCUCCGGUUUAAGUUCUUUGGAAUAUUACAUCAUAGAGGGUGAGAAUCCCGUAUGUGACCGGCAGCCUUCGCCUAUGUGAAACUCUUUCGACGAGUCGAGUUGUUUGGGAAUGCAGCUCAAAAUGGGAGGUAUAUUUCUUCUAAAGCUAAAUAUUGGCCAGAGACCGAUAGCGCACAAGUAGAGUGAUCGAAAGAUGAAAAGCACUUUGGAAAGAGAGUUAAACAGUACGUGAAAUUGUUGAAAGGGAAACGCUUGAAGU
rnacentral:sRNA from 1 species